GAUCCUGGCUCAGGACGAACGCUGGCGGCGUGCCUAAUACAUGCAAGUAGAACGCUGAAGGAGGAGCUUGCUCUUCUGGAUGAGUUGCGAACGGGUGAGUAACGCGUAGGUAACCUGCCUGGUAGUGGGGGAUAACUAUUGGAAACGAUAGCUAAUACCGCAUAAUAACAGUUGUUGCAUGACAACUGUUUGAAAGGUGCAAUUGCAUCACUACCAGAUGGACCUGCGUUGUA
rnacentral:rRNA from 1 species